GAUGAACGCUGGCGGCGUGCUUAACACAUGCAAGUCGAACGAGACAUCUAGACGGAAAUCUUCGGACGGAGGCCUUGAUUUCGAGUGGCGGGCGGGUGAGUUAAGCCUGGGUUACCUGGCUCCAUCAGGGGGGAAAACGUUGGAAAAUACCUUAUAAUACCGAAAAGACCAACGCAACGCCUGUGGGGGGGGGAAAAACUCCGGUGGUAUGGGAUGGACCCGCGUUCGAUUAGGGAGUUGGCGGGGUAACGGCCCACCAAAGCGACGAUCGAUAGCCGAACUGAGAGGGUGACCGGCCACAUUGGGACUGAGACACGGCCCAAACUCCUACGGGAGGCAGCAGUGGGGAAUAUUGCACAAUGGGGGAAACCCUGAUGCAGCGACGCCGCGUGAGUGAUGAAGUAUUUCGGUAUGUAAAGCUCUAUCAGCAGGGAAGAAAAUGACGGUACCUGAGUAAGAAGCACCGGCUAACUACGUG
rnacentral:rRNA from 1 species